GACGAACGCUGGCGGCGUGCUUAACACAUGCAAGUCGAACGAUGAACCAGGGCUUGCCCUGGGGAUUAGUGGCGAACGGGUGAGUAACACGUGGGCAACAUGCCCCAGACACCGGGAUAACCUCUCGAAAGAGUGGCUAAUACCGGAUACGACCACUUUGGGCAUCCAACGGUGGUGGAAAGGAUUCUGGUCUGGGAUGGGCCCGCGGCCUAUCAGCUUGUUGGUGGGGUGAUGGCCUACGAAGGCGACGACGGGUAGCCGGCCUGAGAGGGCGACCGGCCACACUGGGACUGAGACACGGCCCAGACUCCUACGGGAGGCAGCAGUGGGGAAUAUUGCGCAAUGGGCGAAAGCCUGACGCAGCGACGCCGCGUGAGGGACGAAGGUCUUCGGAUUGUAAACCUCUUUCAGCAGGGACGAAGCGAAAGUGACUGUACCUGCAGAAGAAGCACCGGCUAACUACGUGCCAGCCGCCGCGGUAAGAC
rnacentral:rRNA from 1 species